GAUGAACGCUGGCGGCGUGCCUAAUACAUGCAAGUCGAGCGAACGGACGAGAAGCUUUCUCCUCUGAUGUUAGCGGCGGACGGGUGAGUAACACGUGGAUAACCUACCUCUUAGACUGGGAUAACUUCGGGAAACCGGAGCUACUAGCGGAUAAUAUUUUGAACCGCAUGGUUCAAGAGUGAAAGACGGUCUUGCUGUCACUUAGAGAUGGAUCCGCGCUGCAUUAGCUAGUUGGUAAGGUAACGGCUUACCAAGGCAACGAUGCAUAGCCGACCUGAGAGGGUGAUCGGCCACACUGGAACUGAGACACGGUCCAGACUCCUACGGGAGGCAGCAGUAGGGAAUCUUCCGCAAUGGGCGAAAGCCUGACGGAGCAACGCCGCGUGAGUGAUGAAGGUCUUCGGAUCGUAAAACUCUGUUAUUAGGAAAGAACAUAUGUGGAAUUAACUGUGCACAUCUUGACGGUACCUAAUCAAAAAGCCACGGCUAACUACGUG
rnacentral:rRNA from 1 species